rnacentral:tRNA from 1 species
GCCCCGGUGGCGAAACUGGUAAACGCACGGGACUUAAAAUCCUGCGCCGCAAGGCUUGCCGGUUCGAGUCCGGCCCGGGGCACCA